GGUUCGAUUCUGCCUGUGGUUUACCGCUGGCGGGAUGCUUUACACAUGCAAGUCGAACGGCAGCACGGACUCGUUGUGGUCUGGUGGCGAGUGGCGAACGGGUGAGUAAUGUAUCGGAACGUGCCUAGUAGCGGGGAUAAACUACGGAAAGCGUAGCUAAUACCGCAUACGCCCUUCGGGGAAAGCGGGGGACCUUCGGGCCUCGCACUAUUAGAUGGCCGAUAUCGGAUUAGCUAAUUAGCGGGAAUGCUCACUAAGGCGACGAUCCGUAGCGCUGGUUUGAGAGGACGACCAGCCACACUGGGACUGAGACACGGCCCAGAUCACGGAGCAGCAGGGGGAAUUUUGGACAAUGGGGAAACCUCAUCCAGCCAUCUGGGUACAAUGGAUAAUACCCCGUGCAACUGAACAAAAUGGUACCGAGAAUAAGCACCGGCUAACUACGUGCCAGCAGCCGUACGUAGGGUGCAAGCGUUAAUCGGAAUUACCGGGCGUAAAGCGUGCGCAGGUAGCGGUUCGGAAAAAGAAAAGAUGUGAAAUCCCAGAGCUUAACUUUUGAACUGCAUUUAACUACCGAGCUGAUGUAUUGAAAGAUGGAAUCAGCAGAAAUAUGAAAUGCGUAGAUGUUUUGUUGAUGGCGAAGGCAGCCUCCUGGGAUAUAACAUUGACGCCUGCACGAAAGCGUGGGGAGCAACAGAGCUGAUAUGUCCGGUAGUCCACGCCCUAAACGAUGUCAACUAGCUGCUGAAGUCCCGGCUCCUGACAGCUAACGCGUGAAGUUGGCCGCCUGGGGAGUACGGUCGCAAGAUUAAAACUCAAAGGAAUUGACGGGACUCCGUGCACAAGCGGUGGAUGAUGUGGAUUAAUUCGAUGCAACGCGAAAACCUACCACCUGACAUGUCUGAAUCCCGAAGAGAUUUGGGAGUGCUCGCAAGAGAACUGGAACACAGGUGCUGCAUGGCUGUCGUCAGCUCGUGGCCGUGAGAUGUUGGGUUAAGUCCCGCAACGAGCGCAAACCCUUGGCUGCUGAAGUUGCUACGAAAGGGCACUCUAUCGAGACUGCCGGUGACAAACCGAGGAAGGUGGAUGACGUCAAGUCCUCAUGGCCUUAUGGGGUAGGGCUUCACACGUCAUACAAUGGUCGGGACAGAGGGUCGCCAACCCGCGAGGGGAGCCAAUCCCAGAAACCCGAUCAGUCCGGAUCGCAGUCUGCAACUCGACUGCGUGAAGUCGGAAUCGCUAGUAAUCGCGGAUCAGCAUGUCGCGGUGAAUAUCUGGUCUUGUACACACCGCCCGUCACACCAUGGGGAGGUCUACCAGAAGUAGCGCUCAACCGUAAGGAGGGCGAUUGCCACGGUAGGAUUCAUACACUGGGGUGAAGUCGUAAAUAAGGUAA
rnacentral:rRNA from 1 species